CCCGGAUAUCAAUCCACACAUCUUCGAACACCUGAUUUUUGAAAAAGAAGCAAAAAAUAUCAAAUGGAAAAAAAGAAAGCAUAUUUAACAAGUGGUGCUGGCAUAACUGGAUAGUUCUACAGUAAACCUUGAGCCUCCAAGGGAAAUCCUUAAGGAGACAGCGACCCAAAUUCCAGCAGGCAGUUUUCAGAAGCUGCCAGACAGAUUCUCUCACAGAUAGAGCAGGGUAUAUGGGAACAACAGGAUGAAGAUAAAACGAGAUGGUUUCCAGAGCAACUGGUUCUAGGCAUUCAGCAGAAGAAUACCCGACCUGAUGACAUCAUAGCUGAUAAUGGCCCAGCAGGAGAAACAAAAUAAAAGGAGACCAAGGAGGAACCUGUGAUCUGACAUUCCCAGCCCACUCUACACUGCACGGCGCCAUUCUGCCUCCAGAGAUUCCAGACACGGAGACCCUGCUGAGGUGACUGCUAUGGCUGCAACUUGCUGCAGUCUGAGUCCUAUUUGCUUGGAACUAAGAUGCAGACUGAACAUUUGACUGUUUUAGUCUCUGGGACACAGAACUCAUUUUUGUUAAAAUAUUGGACCUGAUGAACUAAGACCUAAGCUUUCCCUUAGGGAAAGAAAGACUCAAAAUAAGAAAUGACUGAAGCCUGCUUCAGUUAAGAAAGAGGCAGCCUAAGGAUGUAACAGCUGCUCAGAGACUGAAACUGGUAUUUGAUAACAGCAAUGUCAUUGUACUCUUACCAGUAUUGACCUGUUAUUUGUAACUACAUAUAAGAUGCUGAGAAAAGUUAGUAUUGACCAGUGAUGCUGAGAAUCAUGGUACUGACCGAAUGAUAUUUGGAAAAGUUGGUAUUGAGCCGGGCGGUGGUGGCGCACGCCUUUAAUCCCAGCACUCGGGAGGCAGAGGCAGGCGGAUCUCUGAGUUCGAGUCCAGCCUGGUCUACAAGAGCUAGUUCCAGGACUGGCUCUAAAAAGGCUGCAGAGAAACCCUGUCUCGAAAAAAAAAAAAAGUUGGUAUUGAUUGACAAUGCUAAGAAUUAUGAUAUUGACUUGUCAACUGUUGAGAAAAGUUUAACACACUUGUAAAUGUUGGGAGUUAAUGCAUAUGUUAAAGAACUUUAGAUUUUGAUACAAUGUAAAAGAUUUAAGAGGUGCUCUAAACCAGCAGAAGAAACAUUUUCAACUCAGGAGAUUCUUUUCUCCUUUAAGUAGGAGACUAUAGACUUUGGGAGAAUGAUUACUCCUGUAAUUCCUUUAGCCACCCAUAAGGCUGCACUUUCGGGUUCCUAAGCCGGUGCAUGUACCCCCGUAGACAUGCGUGGGUCGCCCACCAUCUGCGUCACCAGUGUCUGACACAGAAGCCCCCCGUACACAGGCGCAGGGCGUAAUGUCGCCUGUCAUCAGUGUCUGACGUGGACACAUCUUUCCCCCUAGUGCACAUGUGCUGGGGAACCUUUAAAAGCUAAACGCGCCAUUCCCACGCUCUCUUGUCCUUCUGUCCACACCAUUUUCACCAAGCUCGCGAGCACAUAAUCCUCUUAAUAAACUCGAACACGUGAGUUCGUUCGUA